UACGAAGGUCCCGAGCGUUGUUCGGAAUCACUGGGCGUAAAGGGAGCGUAGGCGGCGCGGUAAGUCAGAUGUGAAAUCCCGGGGCUCAACCCCGGAACUGCAUCCGAUACUGCCGUGCUAGAGGAUUGGAGAGGUAGCUGGAAUUCUUGGUGUAGCAGUGAAAUGCGUGGAGAUCAAGAGGAACACUCGUGGCGAAAGCGAGCUACUGGACAAUAUCUGACGCUGAGGCUCGAAGUCCAGGGUAGCGAAAGGG
rnacentral:rRNA from 1 species